GAUAUUUUAAAAUUAAUUUCAUAAGAUGAAAAUCAACCCAAUAUGCCGCCAUUCUUUAGUGGCUAAAAUAGCUUUAGCUGUUAUUUUUGAGGUCACCAGUGUGUUAUUAAUAAAAAUCCUAAUGUUGUAUGCUCACCUAUGUCAGACAAUUUUUUUAAGUGGUUGUAGUUAGGUUUAAUGAUUAUUUGGUUUGCUUCUUGUGCAAGACAUGCUACCAGAAGCCAAAAGGAGCUCAAAGAAGAUGACUGCCCUUGCUUUAAAAAACUUAAACUAUACUAAAUAAUUACAUGAAAUAACGGAACAUAGGCAGAAUCUUAGAAUUAUAAGUAAGAAAUAGUGUGAUGGAAUACGAGGGGUAGACCCUCUAACGGAACCUUGAAAAACUAGCAAGACUUUUGACAAAGGAGGGGAUCUCCCAGACACCCAGAACUAAAUAACAUCCAUGGGAAAAUCAAUAAAGCCCACGACCGUGUUGACACUUCAGUUCUCAACUGAACGGUCACUUCAGGUACCUGAAGACUGUUUCUCUUGCUUUGAGUUGUUAAUCUAAGGUUGUUCUUUGGAGCAGGACUAUUUUUAUUUCCAGAAGCAUCACCUCCUAACCAGAGAUCAGUCACUGUCACCGAAUUAGAGCUUAACGACGUCACACAGGACCAGCCCUGCGUGAGCUGAACAUCUGUGGAGCAUUUGAAAGCCUGCACAUUCCCAGAAAUUAAGGAAUGUAGAGAAUCUAAUUGAUCCCACGGAGGGUGGAGGAGUAUUUCGCCUCCAUGAAAGGGUGGCAGGCAAGGUGAAUGGGACUCGGCUGGGUACUCUCACUGAACCUGGUUCAAGCUCAUUACCCCUUCAGAAGUUUUCAUCAACUUUUCUUAAUACAACAGGCUCCAUCAGUGCCUGACACAUAGUAGGUCCUCAAUAAUUACUAACUAAAUGACAGACUUUUGGGGGGCCUUUUUUACCCAUGUUGUCAUAAAAGUUGUUCAAGUAUUAUAGAAAAGUAUCUGUUCUGAGCACUCAAUUCUGUGUUCAUUUCAGUGUCUUUUACGUCCAAUGCACAGAUAGUUCAUGCACCUCUUCGAUCUGCAGAAUGCGUUUCCUAUAAUAUCUUGUUUGAUUCUCACAGCAAUAGAGGGGUGAGUAGGGCAAGUGUCAUUAUUCCUUUUGUUCUCUCUUAUUUUGCUGCACCCCACAGCUUGCAGGAUCUUGAUUCCUGACCAGGGAUUGAACCCUCACCCCUUAUAGUGCAAGCGCUGAGUCCUAACCACUGGACCACCAGGGAAGUCCACCACUACUCGUAUUUUACAGAUGGAGCUACUGACAUUCACGAAAGUCAGGAGACUUGUCCAAGAUUCUACAUCUUUGUGAUGUCAUAUGAUAUUUGUCUUUCUCCGUCUGACCUAAUUCACUCAGUAUGAUUCGCUUUGAAUCUCAUCUGAAGCUCGAAACAGCCAUCCAAGUCCAAGUCUGCCGUUGACGUCUGUCCAUACGGCUGCUGUUAAGUUACAGCAGGAGGAUAUAUCUGCUGUGCAGACGACUUUUCAGAACAACCGCGUUGCUUCAGCUCAGUGACCAUAAGGCAACAGAGACCUCCUGGGAUUCUUGUGAGAACGCAGGCAAUAGCGCAGUCGACCCACACAGGGGCCAGUGCACAUGCGUGCUCGGCCGCUCAGGCGUGUCCAGCCCUGUGCGACCCCACGGACUGCGG